GCCCUAAUAGCUCAGUUGGUAGAGCCACUCACUUGUAAUGAGAAGGUCGCUGGUUCGAAUCCGGCUUGGGGCU
rnacentral:tRNA from 1 species